rnacentral:rRNA from 1 species
UCGAGAAUUUUUCUCAAUGGGCGAAAGCCUGAAGGAGCGACGCCGCGUGGGGGAUGAAUGGCUUCGGCCCGUAAACCCCUGUCAUUUGCGAACAAACCUCAUCAUUUAAAAGAUGAUGAGCUGAUUGUAGCGAAAGAGGAAGGGACGGCUAACUCUGUGCCAGCAGCCGCGGUAAUACAGAGGUCCCAAGCGUUGUUCGGAUUCACUGGGCGUAAAGGGUGCGUAGGUGGUCGGAUAAGUCUGAUGUGAAAUCUCCGAGCUCAACUCGGAAACUGCAUCGGAUACUAUUCGACUCGAGGGUUGGAGGGGGGACUGGAAUACUUGGUGUAGCAGUGAAAUGCGUAGAUAUCAAGUGGAACACCAGUGGCGAAGGCGAGUCCCUGGACAACUCCUGACACUG